UCAAAGGACAGCCUUCAUAGUCUCCUUGGA
rnacentral:piRNA from 1 species